AACGAAGGAAUUUCAACGGAGAUAAAGGCUGCGAGAGGAACUGCAAGCAGUCAGGAAAACUGGGGCAGGGGCCGCAGGGCUGCUGGGUCACGUUGCCGGCGGAGCCUUUUGGGUAGUGCACGGCGGUUGCGCGCGGGCGUAUUUAGCUGUAACGCCCACCACAGGCUUUGUCGUUGUAUCGCUCACGGCUUAAGACCCAAGAUGGCGGCGUCCGCUCCGUGCAAAAUACGGCCUGCGUACCAGGUGUGGAAAGGCGGCCAAAGGACGAAUUUACUGAGGAAAGUGGUGAAACUGGACAGUUUUUGUGUUGUGAUACUCCAGAUGGGGACUUUUAAGCAUAUUAAUACUUAUCAUUUGUUCUGGAAGCAUCUCAGAGGUAGGGGUGUGUGGGUGUAUAAAGGUAAUCUUUGUGGGGGGGGGAAUUGCUAUAUUAUUUUGUGGAUUGUUGAUUACUCAGUUUCUUGUGUUCAGAUUUCUUGGUGAAAAUAAACUUAUGUUACACAUAAUAUGUUUACUGUAUGGAGAAGACAGUGAAAGAUUACAUCUAAUCUGAUGUUAAAUGUUAUGUGAUUAAAAUAAAUUCCCGUUAAGAAGUG